rnacentral:rRNA from 1 species
GGAGGGUGCAAGCGUUAAUCGGAAUUACUGGGCGUAAAGCGCGCGUAGGCGGUUUGGUCAGUCGGAUGUGAAAGCCCUGGGCUUAACCUGGGAAUGGCAUUCGAUACUGCCUGACUGAGUAUGGUAGAGGGAAGUGGAAUUUCCGGUGUAGCGGUGAAAUGCGUGGAUAUCGGAAGGAACACCAGUGGCGAAGGCGACUUCCUGGGCCAAUACUGACGCUGAGGUGCGAAAGCGUGGGGAGCAAACAGGGAUUAGAUACCCUGGUAGUCCACGCCGUAAACGAUGAGAACUAGAUGUCGGGAGGGUUGCCUUUCGGUGCCGCAGCUAACGCGUUAAGUUCUCCGCCUGGGGAGUACGCCGGCAACGGUA